UGCAAUUUUUUUCCUGCAGGUUCUAUUCCAGCUUUUGCUUGGUCGGUUAAGUUGGCAAGAGACAGUCAUCUUCCUAGGCCUAAAUGGCGUUUGUAAUACUCUGCUGCUAUGGUGGAUUCCCUUCACUGCAUAUUUUCAAGGAGCUGCUGAAAAAAUUGAGAAUGAUUUUAUUUCUUCCUUGACAUACCUGUGUGUAACAGCUGUGCUAUUCUUUUUAUUUCAGUUUCUAGAAAAAGUCGGAGGCCAUUUCAUUCCUCAGUCUGGAAUCUCAUUUGGCAUAUUCCUAAGUGUCUUCGUUAUCAUUGGUUUGGAUCAGCCUUGGGUGUUACCAUCUGGAGGGUAUCUCUUGGGAAUAUCAGCUAUUGGUGUGGGCUUCCUGUUGCUAUUCAUACCUGAAAACUGGAAAGAACUUCUGGGUUUGGAAUCAACUGAACUAGGUCAUUUGGAUGAUGAAAGUGAAGAAAUCCAGGGUAAAAGCAUUGCCUGACGUAUGAUGACAUUCUGAUAUUAACAGAUGGGCUUGCAUCAUCUACAGAUAAUCAUGUUAUCAUUGGUCAUCACAAAAACACCUAUUUCAACUGGAUACCAUAGCAGACAUUGAAUAAUAUCUCUUCUACCAGUGUCUGUUGUUAUAGUAAUUCUGGGAAAUCCGAAAUGCAUGGUUGACAAAAAAAUAAACAUAUUUACCCAAGACAUGAUCAAUGGCACAUUUUAUUUAACACUUCAAGCAAAGCAACAAUAUCACAAUAAAUUCCCAGAAUUUGUUUCGUACCGUGACAGUAAAAGUGAAACACAAUGCUACAAAAAAAGGCUUCUGCGUGCAUUCCAUUCUAGCUAGUACACAUAAAUGAGUGCAAGCCACAUCCAGUACUGUGGCUACAGGCAGCAAAACUGUGGAAAUAGAAGGACCAAAGCUCUUUGCUAAUCACAGGCAUAUUCUAGAGACUCAUCAUAGGCACAUCAGGUUUAUAGAACAUAAGCUAUUCAGGCAAAGCAUUACUCUUUAAAAAGUUGAAUUCCUCAAAAUGUAUAUUUGCAUGUCAUAGAUGGAAUCAAUUAAUAAAUAAAUGAGUUGCAUUUAAGACACUUUUUUUGGAAUAUCAGGCAAAUAUUGUGUAUAAAAGGAAGUCAAUAUUAACAUAUGUAAAUAAUUGAAUCUGCAAAACUUAACUUUAUUGUGUAAUUUUAUUGAACUGUAUAUAUCAGCAGCUGUAUUUUCUAUAUUUAGCAGCCAAAGUGCUUUACUUCCUGCUGAAUGAUCCACAUGCAAUCGACAUAGUUGACAAUGUUGUAAUGUCACUGGGGAGCAAAUGGCACUAUAGUUAGGUUUGUCAGCGCUAGGCCAAGACAAGAGUGAGCUUUGGUGGGGCAUUAGAAUAGGUAACAACAAUUAUCUUCAUAAUAUAAAUAUGAAGCGACUGAUGACUGCAUAUAUAAGCAUACUUUUAACCAUACGUAAUGCCAUUAGUGUUCUUUAAUAAGGAUGUUAAUAUUUAAAAACCAGUGUGAAAAUUUUGUGUAUAAGGAGGAUCUUGUUGGAGACGCAGGAAA